CAAGGAACCGACUGGGAGUGUAGAGAACAUCCUCUAGCACGCCCGCCCCCGUGGGUGGUGGAAUCCACAUGUUUACUGCCUUUACCCACCCCGGAUCUUUAGGGAAAUGGGGGCUUUUUGUUCCCUCAGAUCCUAUCUGUGCCCAGGUUGGUGGGUCCCGAAUGCGUUUCCUGUGUCGCUCCUGGCAGCGCUGCUUCCCGAGCCCCGUGCCCGGUUCCGCACAUCCCCGCCUCUUUCCAGGAGCACACUGACUGGCAAUCAUUGCACCUUUGAGGCUGCCUUGAAGCUCGAUCCUCUGACAGGCUCCAUCUCCACCCUGCUUAGGUGAUGGUGUCUGCCUGGGAAAUUGACUUUUUUUAGACAAGGAAUUCAGUUAUGCAGCUGAUGAAUGCAGCAAUGGACACAGUCUUCAAAUGCUUUUAGAUCAGUUUUUUUUUUUUUUUUUUUAAACUCCUUUGAACGUUUGUAUCAACACAUGGCUCCUGACCACCAUCCUUGGUUCUCAUCCUGCCCUCCUAUUUUCCUUCAAGUGCUUUGCAGUGAAAAGCAGAUGGACGCGACGUGAGCUCUUCCAUGCCUUUUGCACCUGGGGUAUAUUAUUCUGGGCAUUCAAAGAGGUGAUUUUUACUCCCUGAAUGAAAUCUGAUGGAUAUCCAGUGUAAUGAACUCCCAAAAGAAUGAAGACAUGUUUCCGGGGAAGAAUUGAGGAGAUCUUGCUUCAUAGAUUGCCACUACUAAAAAUUGAGAAAGAAAACAGAAAAGAAAAUUAAUGGCACUAGAUGUUUGUGAAGCAAACCAACUAUAUUUUCAGUGUGUUAUUUGAUCAUUUAUAAAACAUAUGUAAGUUACAAAGCUGGGCAAAAAUAUGUGUGUUAUGUUAUCGUCCUCCUUCUGCAUUUUAAAUUAAAAGAGAACAUAUUAUCAGCUUGGAAUUUACGGAUUAGCUGGAAUGUAAGCUUUAGGAAAGCUUGAGGAAUUUAUGUGGUUAGACAACCUUGGAUUUUGAGCAAUCCACAACCAUGUCCAAUCAUCAAACAACUGGAGGUUUGCUAUAUUCUUUUUUCCUUCGACUAUCAAAAAAGAAAAGAAGAGGAAAUGAUGAUGCUUAUCAGAAACUCUUAUAGUGAUGGUAGAGCAGCAAAGAUCAAUAGGUUAAUAUUUUUAAAACCCGAUUCAGGUGAUAAAAAGUCUGUAAAUACAUAAAAUAAACAUUAUGCUAAUGAUAGACUAUUGAUAAUAAAAAAAUUACUUUGCUCCAGGGAAAUAUCUUCUGUAGGUUGUAUGUAUGUUAGUUUUGCAUAGAUACUGUCAUAGUAAUAAUUAUAAUUUAAUAAUCCUAAGACUGAUAUGAAAAGCAGAGUUCUCAGUAUGCAUUCUACAGCAUGUAUAAUUGUUAUUUAGAAGUUUUGCACCUGAGACAUAAAAAGAAGAAACCUUCUAUAAGGUGCUUUUAGAUAAAGCUAAGCAUGAAUUAAA